UACGGGGGGGGCAAGCGUUGUUCGGAAUUACUGGGCGUAAAGGGCUCGUAGGUGGCCAACUAAGUCAGACGUGAAAUCCCUCGGCUUAACCGGGGAACUGCGUCUGAUACUGGAUGGCUUGAGUUUGGGAGAGGGAUGCGGAAUUCCAGGUGUAGCGGUGAAAUGCGUAGAGAUGGGGGAGAACACUCGUGGCGAAGGCGGCCAGCUAGACCAGUUCUGACACUGAGGCGCGACAGCGUGGGGAGCAAACAGG
rnacentral:rRNA from 1 species